UACCUUGAAGGACCUGUCUGAGAGGUAAUUGUCAAACCACUGGAGUGCGGUUCCUGAGAUGCCCUUUGCCAAUAGGGUUGACAGGAGGAUCUGGUGGUUGACCAUAUCAAAAGAAGUGGACAGAUCCAGCUAGUUAAGUAAUGGAGAUUUGGAAACCGCUCUUGCCAGUCUUAGGGCUUCAACAACUGAGAGCAAGGCAGUCUCGGUUUAAUGUCCACUUCUGAAACCAGCCUGGUUGCUGUCGAGGAGGUUGUUCUGUGUGAGAAAGGCAGAGACUUGGUUGAACACAACUCGUUCAAGAGUUUUUGCUAUGAAAGGAAGAAGGGAAAAUAGUUAUUUAAAAGAGUUGGGUUAAGAGUGGGUUUCUUAAGUAGUGGGGUUAUAUGAGCCUGUCUAAAUGCUGAGGGAAAAACACCAGUGUGAAUGAGAUGAAAUAUGAUGAGAUGAAAUAGAAUCAAGUGGACAAGUAGUAGGAUGAUUUAGGAAGGAUGAGUUUAGAGACUUCUGACUCAGAGAGUGGAGAGAAGGAUGUGAAAGAGUGUAUGUUUGUUGGUAAGAUGUGUUUGACAGUUUGAGUAAGAGAUGCUAACUGUUUAGAGCGAGGAAGCGAAGAUGAAAGUAAAACAGAGAGCCUGGAGGGUGAAUGUGAGCCUAGUUUACAUCGAAAGAUGACAUGCGGAGGGGUAUGUGUUAUGUCAGGAACCAUGUUGAGGUUAAGAGUGAGCAGGAAGUGAUCUCAGGUGUGCAGUGGGGUAACCAGCACAUGAUCAGUGGAGCAGUGUCCUGAGAAUUAAUGAGAAAUUAUUGAAUUAAAUGAAAGAUUAUUAAAUAUAUAAUUAUCAUUGUAAUGCAUGGGGUGGGACUGAGAACAAUGAACGUGAGGCUUGGUGGCUCCCACGGCUCUCAGCCCCUCCCCUCUUGUCCCAAAAAUUUUUAGUGAAAGUGACGUGACGUGACGUGGCCAAGUAUGGUUACCCAUACUCGGAAUUUGUGUUCUGCAAUAACCCAUCCAAAUUGCACACACACAGCAGUGAACGAAUGAAUACACAGUGAAAAUGACAACUGAGCCACCUAUGAACCUUGAUCAGUCUCAAGAAACUUGGAUGAAGAAGAACAAACAUUUCCCAUCCACCAAUUCCAAAUGAUUUUCUGUUCCACAAAAAAAAAAAAAAACAUGUUCCCCCCAAAAAAGGAUCCACAAGUAUGUGACACAGAGCAAGAAAUGUUCAAGUUUUGAUGCAUGUCAGCUUCCUGCAAAGGUACUCAAUGUAGAGGAAGAGGUAAUGAAAUCAUUAUACAAAAAUGAAAACUAUUUAUUUAUUGCAUAUAUUAAGGUACACUAUUAUUUACUGUAUGAACUGCAUGUCAUUAUAGGUCGACAUGCUAUGGAAGAAGCCACCUACAGAGUUGAUAAGUCUCCUAGCCAGAAUCUGGAGUACCUGUUACAUCCCAAGGAAUUCCAAACACUGAGGCCACAUGAGAGCAGUCAACUUUGAGCAAUAUGAUGGGCUCAUCACUUUCGUAAAUAUCAACAACAUACACUAGAGGUUUGCGUGACUACAUGCUUACACUGACACCAUUUUUAAUACUUGACCCUCAAAGUGGUACAAAUUAAAUGAAAGAAGCCAAAAAAGCCUGCAAAUACCUUUG